rnacentral:rRNA from 1 species
UACGAGAGGCCCAAACGUUAUUCGGAAUUACUGGGCGUAAAGCGUGCGCAGGCGGCGCGUUAAGACAGGUGUGAAAGCCCCGAGCUUAACUUGGGAAUUGCGCUUGUGACUGGCGUGCUGGAGUGUGGCAGAGGGAGGUGGAAUUCCACGUGUAGCAGUGAAAUGCGUAGAGAUGUGGAGGAACACCGAUGGCGAAGGCAGCCUCCUGGGCCAGCACUGACGCUCAUGCACGAAAGCGUGGGGAGCAAACAGG